UUCUACACAAGAGAUAUAACAGCAA
rnacentral:snRNA from 1 species